CCUACGGGUGGCAGCAGUGAGGAAUAUUGGUCAAUGGACGCAAGUCUGAACCAGCCAAGUAGCGUGCAGGAUGACGGCCCUCCGGGUUGUAAACUGCUUUUAGUUGGGAAUAAAAGGGGGCUCGUGAGCCCCGUAUUGUAUGUACCAUCAGAAAAAGGACCGGCUAAUUCCGUGCCAGCAGCCGCGGUAAUACGGAAGGUCCGGGCGUUAUCCGGGUUUAUUGGGUUUAAAGGGAGCGUAGGCCGGCUUUUAAGUCAGCUGUGAAAGUCCGGGGCACAACCGUGGAAUUGCAGUGGAAACGGGAGGCCGUGAGUGCACACGGGGAUGCCGAACUACAGGGUGUAGCGGUGA
rnacentral:rRNA from 1 species